GUGUAAGUGUUUAAGGGCGCACGGUGGAUGCCUUGGUACCAGGAGCCGAUGAAGGACGUGUCUGGCCGCGAUAGGCCCCGGGGAGCCGCCGAGAGGGCUUGGAUCCGGGGGUGUCCGAAUGGGGGAACCCGGCACCCG
rnacentral:rRNA from 1 species